GGGGGCGGAUCGGGCCUGGUGGUCCGAGCGGUCUUCAAAACCGUCUAGGGCUCGCUAGAGCCUUGGUAGGUUCGAUUCCUACACGCCCCCGCCA
rnacentral:tRNA from 1 species